rnacentral:lncRNA from 1 species
UUUUAUGCUGGCUUUAAGGUAUAUGAUUACUCUUUCUUACAAUAUUUUCUAUAAAUUUGGAAAAUGAUGCUUUGCUAAGUCACCUUAAGCAUAGAUUAACACUCAAUUGAUUCUAACAUUUCAUAUAAUCAUAUGGUAUUAAUAUAUUUUAUGUGUACAAGCCCAAUAAUGCUCGGGCCCAAGCAAAUAAACAAACCCAAUAAACUAAACCUAAGCCCAAACCAAACCUAGCCCAAAAAAAAACAAAAAAAUAGAAACCCUAAGCAGAAAAAUCACCAGCCGCCGCCCUCAACAGCAGCCACGUUCGUCGCCGCCUCUUGCGCGCCUUCCCCGCGCCGUUCGCUCCACGCCACACCUGCAGUAACGAAUAGAAACAAACAGAAUAGCAAAAAACGAGCAAUAGUAUAGAUUUUGUUUGGAUUUUAUUUGAUUUUUUUUUCCAUUUUCGGCUAUAAAAAGGGCCGAUAUCAAAUCUGUAAGGGGGGGAUUUCGGUGUAAAGGAAUACAAAUACGAAAUACGAAAUACAAAAGAAAAGAAAAGAGAAAUACAUUUUUUUCUUUGAAUAUAAAGGUGUUUUUUCGAUUUUAUCCUCUUUUCAGUAUUUUUGUGCUUAUAUUAAUUUAUAAAAGGGAGAGGGGAAGAGAAACUUACCUUUUUCGCCGGAUUGGGCGUCUCCGUCGCCAUCAGAGCACUGGCCCAGGUGAUCGGCGGCGCAGAGGGCUGGGGUUGAAGAAACCCUAGCAGAGGAUUUUAUUUUAUUUUAUUUUC